rnacentral:tRNA from 1 species
GGGGUUGUGGCUCAGUGGUAGAGUGCUCACCUAGCAUGUGUGAAGCCCUGGGUUCAGUCCUCAGCACCA